GGUCACUUUGGAGGCCAUAUUAUAAUUGGAACGAUACAUAUAGAAGAUUAGCAUGACCCUGUGCAAGCAUGACAUGCACAAAUGAAUAAAUGAUCCAAAAUUUA
rfam:Gossypium raimondii chromosome 1, whole genome shotgun sequence.